rnacentral:rRNA from 1 species
UACAGAGGUCUCAACCGUUGUUCGGAUUCAUUGGGCGUAAAGGGUGCGUAGGCGGUCGCGCAAGUCGGAUGUGAAAUCUUAGGGCUCAACCCUGAAACUGCAUUCGAUACUGCGUGGCUCGAGUACUGGAGAGGAGACUGGAAUUUACGGUGUAGCAGUGAAAUGCGUAGAUAUCGUGAGGAAGACCAGUGGCGAAGGCGGGUCUCUGGACAGUUCCUGACGCUGAGGCGCGAAGGCCAGGGGAGCAAACGGG